AAAGUGUUUGAAUCAAUGAAUGUAUUAGUGAAACAAAGUAACAUUUGAGAUAUUUGUGCAAUCAGCUGCUUCUGCUAUUUGGAUUUUCAUUGAACAAAUAAUCAAAACGUGAAUCGCCGCCGCCAUUACCGGAGACAACGAGCUUCAACAGAUCAACCGCUUUCUUCCUUCCUUUCAGACUACCAUUCUCAGCUACAUACACGAUCCCUUCCAUGGCUCCUUCAUCAGCACCAGACGCAACCGCCGCCGCAACUUCAGACCUCGCUGCAGCUCCUCCACAUCUCGCCAGAUUCAAAAGCGCACCAACGGAGUUCUCUUUGAUCCGUAGGCUCGAACCAGUGCAAGGAUCUAACAGAUCCGCUAGAACGUUAGCUCCUGAAACUCUCCUCAUCCCGUCCUCGCUAUCUUCGCAUCCAGCGACUUGCGCCAUAACCGCCGUCGCAUCUUCAACGAUCCCGCACCGCGAAUCUUUCACGAUCAGCGAAAACAGAGCCGGAAUCGCGCCGAGAGAGAUCAUCGUCGAUCGGUUCAUCGGAUACAGAGCGAUCGCGAAGAGUGCCUUGAGCGAGUCUUUGAUCGAUCGAGGAUGCGAAUCUGGAUAUCUAAUGAUGUGAAUGAGGGAGAAGAUGAUAUCGCGCUUAGAUCCGAUGAUAGGUCGGUAAGACUCUUCGGCUAUCAAAAGGCUAUAAAUCGUAGCGGCGGAGGAUUGAACCGCGGCGGGGGAAGUGGUGGUGUCGUGAUGACGAAGCGCGUGAGAAAGCGCGUCGAGUAAGCCGCGUGAAGACAUUAGGGGUUCGCGAGAGGUGAUUGAGAGGUUGAGGAGAGUCGCGGCGGCGUUUUCCUGAGAAGAGUGUGACGACGAGUAAAGAGUCUCGGCGAGGUACGGAAUAGCUCCGGCGUCGGCGAUGAUUAGACGGCUAUCAGGAUCUUGUUUGGAGAUGAGUCUAAGCUCAGCUAAAGCAGCGGCUCUGGUUUGCUCAGAGACAGAGCUAAGCCUGGAGACGAUUGUUGACAUGGUUCUACGCUUUGCUGUUUCCAUUGAGAAGAUUUUGAUGAAAUAGAGAACAAUUCUCUGUUUUUUAUCUUUAUCUUCAAACCCUAAUUAUCG
rnacentral:lncRNA from 1 species